UAGCCGCUACUCACCCCCCCCCAAACUCCAAAAGUUUUACACCCUCACUUUCCUCUUACUCUCCUCUACCCAUUUAAUGACCCAAUGUCACUAAUUACCUCUCAACUCUGACCACACCGUCCGGCUACCCCUACUGCCAUCCAACCGCCGCCAAACCACCGAUCUCUGUUUCUAUCCUAUUUUUCGACUUUUAAAUACUCAUUUUUCUUUUGCAUGAUGCUAGAACUCCUUGGGUUCAUCAUGUGCCAGAAAGAAACGAUUGUUUCAAGGCCGGAAAACCACCACUUGGUAUCUUCGGCGUCUUUUGGUGGCUCGAGUUAGCAACGACUUCCCUCGUGUGAUGUUGGGCUGAAGAUGUUAUUGGGCUAAGGCAGCCCGUAGCUUAGUCUUUGCCUCUUUUUGGCCCAGUCUAGCACCUGUUUUGGCUUUCAUUAAUCCAAGAACAACUGAAGCAAGGUAAUUCUCUCGAAACACUAAUGUAAUUUACGAUCGAAGGAUGAAUGAAAUAUGGAAUUAUUUGAGCUUCUUUAGCUUACCCUAGGCCUUGAAUACAUUCUGCUCAGUGCUCAUGAAUGGUUUAAUAGUAUGUUGUUCGGUUAACUUUAAUAAGUCUUUUGUUACUCUACUUCCUUGAAAGCUUAAAGUUGGUAUUUUGUUGAUCCUUUUGUGAAAGUUAAGAAUUUUAUUUAUUCUGUUUUGAAUGCU